CCUACGGGAGGCUGCAGUCGAGAAUCAUUCACAAUGGGGGAAACCCUGAUGGUGCGACGCCGCGUGGGGGAAUGAAGGUCUUCGGAUUGUAAACCCCUGUCAUGUGGGAGCAAAUUAAAAAGAUAGUACCACAAGAGGAAGAGCCGGCUAACUCUGUGCCAGCAGCCGCGGUACUACAGAGGUCUCAAGCGUUGUUCGGAAUCACUGGGCGUAAAGCGUGCGUAGGCUGUUUCGUAAGUCGUGUGUGAAAGGCGCGGGCUCAACCCGCGGACGGCACAUGAUACUGCGAGACUAGAGUAAUGGAGGGGGAACCGGAAUUCGCGGUGUAGCAGUGAAAUGCGUAGAUAUCGAGAGGAACACUCGUGGCGAAGGCGGGUUCCUGGACAUUAACUGACGCUGAGGCACGAAGGCCAGGGGAGCGAAAGGGAGUAGAUACCCUUGUAGUC
rnacentral:rRNA from 1 species